CUAAUAACUAAUGCAAACUAAUAUGCCCUUGUUGCGAAAGUAAAUCUGAGUUGCUCUGACUGGAUUACUACCUGCGAUCAAGCCCUUGCACACAAGAAAUGAACCCGUCAGCCUUUCUCCUGGAGGUGAUCCCGAAAGGACACUCCGACAGUCAAGUCAGUAUCUUGAGAGAGGUGAGGAGUAGUGAGAAUAUUAGCUUAAGGGAACUUACUGUUGAGGGUGUGGUUGUUGGCUUUAUAUAGUAAGACCCGACCAGUGGCUCCGCUUUGUGAGACAAUAGUGUAGUCUUGAUACAGGACAGUGACACUCAUGGGAGGAGAUAUCCUUUGCUCCUUGCCUUGGGUUGUUAUUGGUUCAGAGAGCAUGUUGAUAGCGGUGCGUGUGUCACUAAGGUUGUCGGUGUUGGAUUAAUGUCUAAGUCCAUAACUAUAAUUGGUAAGACUUGACCCGACCCGGCAUGGUCCAUUUGGGUUGCAAACCUUCAUGCACUUAGAUAGACUAUAAUGAGAGAAAUAAGACACUUAUGGUUAUUAAUAUAUUAUAAGUACUAGUAUAUUAAUAAUAAGAAUAAUAAGAUUGUUUAAUUAGUAUUGAUCAAGAAUUAAUCUAGGAUUAAUUAAGUGAUCAAAAGAAGACUAAUUAAAUAUAUGAGUUGAUUGUGUAAAUCAUCCAUACUUAUAUAGUGGGCUAAUGCUCCAUGGAUAAUCAAGUUGGGCUAAAACCCAUAGGAUGGUCCAUGGGUGCUCCAUGGUGUAUUUGAACCCAUGGAUCCAAGGAAAUGGAAAGUCAUGACAAUUAAGGAUUUACCCUAAUUGUAACACUAUAUAAUGAUCUUAUUCUUGACAAAAAUCGGCCACUAGGAUUAUUCUAGAGAGGGUUAGCCGAUUUCAUGAAGUGUAGAACUCUCUCAAGUUAUUCUAAGUGUUUUGAUAACUGUGAUUCCAUUUGAGGCUUCCACACUAUUGGGGCUAGGCACUCAAGCUUCAUGAAGACUUUCUACAUCAAAGAGGUAUGUAUUCUAUCUUGUUAUAUUCAUGUUUUGUAUGAUAGAUUAGGAUGAUACCUUGGAUAUUCUUAUUUGCAUGUAUAAUAGAGAAAACAUAGAUCCAAGGUAUUUAGGGUUGCAUGUACACUUAGGAGUGUUAGAAUGCUCAAAACCCAACAGUGGUAUCAGAGCCUAGGCAUGUUUUCUUGUUAUACUUGCAAAUGGAGCUGAAAAAUCGAGUUGUGAUGCUGUCAGCCCAGCAGACUCGCCGAGUCCAUGAAGGGACUCGACGAGUCCAAGGCAAAAUUCAUCCAACUCGCCGAGUUAUGUUCAUGCACUCGACGAGUUGGACCCCAGACAGCAUAUUUUCGAGGUUUUUGGCUAGAAAUGGACUAGGAACAUUACCCUACGUUGUUUUUGAACUUAUAAACUUGUUUUUUAAUGUGGUAAUGUUCAUGCUAAUCCAUUUUCAAAGAUAAUUGUCAAUAGAUUCAUGUUUUGUAUUAGUUUAAGGUUUAGACUAAUUACAUGAAGAAGUUUGAUAUGAAUUAUCUUGUUCUUAUGAGUUGCUUAGAUUAAUAGAAAAGUUAAUUGAAAUAGUUGUUUUCAAUCCAUUUUAAUCUAAGAGUUGAGUACAAAAUGUGUUUGUGUAACUUGUCCUCAAGUUACAUGAAGAGUCACAUUAAAGACUCAUAAAACUCAUAAAAGUUGGUAAUGGUUACAAAAUGAAGAGUCUUGUGUCAUUUAAUUUUUUUUUAUGACUCCAUAACUUGUCCUCAAGUUAUGGAAAUUCAAGAGUCACUUCAUUAAUAAAUAAAUAAAUAAAUAAAGUGUAACCUUAAUUAAUUCCAUAAGUUAUAAAAAUAAAGAAAAGAUUAAUUCUUUUAUUAGUUUAAAGUCUUCCAUAAGUUAUGGAACUUGAAGAGUUUUUUGGAUUAAAACUACUUUAAACACAUAAGUUAUGGAAUUAAUUAGUUUUGAAUAGUUUCAAAACUUGCCCUCAAGUUUUGGAAUUUGAAAAGUUUUCACUUAUGAAUACUUUAAUUCCAAGUUAGCCCUUAGAUUUUUAAAAAAGUUAAAAUUCAACACUUAUACUAUUUAUAACAUUAAUGGUUAAUUAUUAUAUAUAUGUAUAAGAACAAGUCGUUUUACCGUUAGUAGGCCUCAUUCACGAAGCCGGUCUAUAAGGUGGGUAUAAGGUUGUUGCCUAUAAAAUGGCGACUUAAUGGGUGUCUACUCUCACCCACCGCUUGCUUGACUGGUGGAGGGUCGUUAGCCGAACGGGUAGGACAAUGACUUUAAAUUCUCCCUUCAUUAAAAGUAUUAAUGAUAAAUACUAAAGUAACUAAAAUCUUAAUAAUUCCCAAUCUUAGUUACUUUAGGAAAAAUGUGAAUUUGGUGCUAACCCAUGGAAUUCACACUUUGUACCUUACCAAGUCGUUGGUGGAGCGUGUGUGGUUAACCGGCACACUAACUUGGACUAGUAAGGACCACGAAGGGUGACUUAAUGUUUGUCAUAGAUCAAUGGAGCGUGUGUGGUUAACCGGCACAUUGAUUAGGUGAUAAUAUUAAGGGUACCAAGUGAAUUGGUAUGGUUAUUCACACCUUGUUUUGUGAUCCUCGGCAUCCCAGUCACAAAAUUUGAGAGGGCACACUCGAGAUUGAAACAUGCCAUUGAAAAGUUCAAUGAAUCUCAAAAGAUCUAGGAAUUUCAAAUCCAAUUAAAACCUAAUAAAUUAUUUCGUUUUUCAUGGUGGAAAUUGGUGAAUCGUCAUUCGCCUACCUUCAAAUAUUUUAUAGCUUGGAUUACGGCAUCCCUCUUCUAAGUUAUAAAAUAGUUUGUUGGGUCCUAGCCUUAAUAUUUCAUAUUGGGUGUCAUAUUAAGGACUUUAAAUCAACUAUCUUGAAUAUCUCCCAAAACAUGUCUGGUUUAGACAUUUAUGAUCUUCCCAAAUCUCUUGAAGAUGAUGUUCCUCAACAUCAUGCUUCACUUCCUUUAUCUCCUCCAAUUAUUCUCCCUCACCCACAAGUUCUUGAAAAGUUUAAAGUCACUCAAGCCCUAUUGGCAAGUUAAGGUCUUGGUGUGGUCACAUCUUGGAGAUGUAGUCACAUAUUGACAAGACGGGAGAGUUGGGUGUCAAAGUCUCGUGAAAGUUGGAUGUUCAAUCACUUUCUUAGUAACAUAGCGGGUCACUUUGGGACUACUAUGAGACAGACUAUGACACGAGCCUUAAUGAUCUUAUCUAUUUGUUUUGUGCUGUGGAAUCAGCAAUGAUUUGGAACACUAGUAAAGCAAAUUUUGUUAGAAGAUCAACUUCCCAAACCUUAAAUGGACAUUGGCAAUGGUAGCAUUGGAUAUCUAGAAAAGCAUUUCUCUUCCCAAUGGAAAGGGAUCGGCCAUAGUCAACUCGGUUGACCAAAUGGUAAAGAGAAAGGCUAAGUCUGAAAUAGUCUCAUGUGCCAUUAUCAAAGGGUCUCCAUAUGUUUAUAUUGCCAAAGAAAGGGGCAUUGGUUGCGAAGCUGCCCUAUUUACCUGAAAGGUCAUAAGGUUGAUCAAGUCAAGAGGUUUGACUCUACUUCGGGUAAAAUACACUGUAUAACUCUGUUAAGUUCCUAUUUGGAGAUUCUUAUUACAUAAUGUGAAUGGGUCACAUGCUGAUGUCUUUUAAGAAUCAAAGAAAAGAUAGGAAGCUUAAAGUAAGUAUAUGCUGAUUCUGAUUGCGAAGAUGGGUUUCGAUCGCAUGGUUCGGUAAUCAGAAUUUUGAGCUGUUGCUUAAGAGUUAUAAUAUAUUGCUUGUGAAUAGAUAACAACAAGGUUUUCAUGUGGAUUGUAAGGAUAAGUUUUUCCGCAAAGUUUUAAAAUAAAAGAAAAAAAGGUUUUAAUUUUAUUUAUUUUAAAAAUAUCCUUACAAUGGCAUCGGUGGAAAAUUGUUGCUUAUAUGUUUCCAGUAAUAGCAAUAUUGGAAAGUGGAUUUGAUUCUUUCAUUUGUGGUAGUGUCUGAAUUUACCAAAUGAAGAAAGUUUUUCAUCACCCAAGUUUCAAUUGGACAGAAACUUGGAAUCAUACAAGUUGUAUUGUAUGAUGAAUGAGAAUUUUCAUCUUUGAAAAAUUAAGACUAAUUCUUUGAUCACAUGUAUAUGUGAGUCAAUUGAAGGACUAAGGAAUUAGGUACACUGGGUGUGCGCUGGUCAAGGUCCACCACAAAGAUUGAUUUGUCAUGAUUUACUAAAGAUUAGUAAAUAUGAUUAUACUUAUAAGGUUAAGUAUAAUUUUGUAACAUUGGAAAACGAAUAAGAAGAAUCAAAUUAGGCAGAAAGAUAAAAGUUUCUCAAAUCUGAAAGGACGGGAGAGUACUUUAGUAUCAGCUUUGUGAUCAUCUUAAUGAUUAAGAAACCAUAUCAAAAUUUGUUCUCUAAGAAAGUCUUAGUGCAUUCUUAUGACUAAGAAGAAGGGAUCUUGAAAUUGUUGAAAUGGUUAAAUCAAGAAGAUGAAUCAUACUUCGUUCCAAUACAAGUCUUGGAGUCAUACUCCAAGAUUGUAAUUUGAGUGACAUGUCUUAAAGAAGGUUUAAAACACUUAUCAAAUGUAAGAGUAAAAUGUUUUCUACUCUUGUACAUUUGAGAUUGGUAAGUUGUGAUGUCUUGGAUGAGACAAAGACCAACUAAGACCAAUUGUGUGAAGUGUUAGUCUUGAUAAGAAUCCGCACUAUCCCUUGAAUAUUUGUUUUAUCAAGGAAUGGUUCUUGACUAGGAAAACUUAUAUGUCAAGGGGACAGUGGGAGCCUUAAAGAUCCUGAAAGAGUUUCAAGAUUUAAUCAAGAGUAAAACCUGUAAUUUAUCACUAGCACACGACUUAAGGUUUUCAACCUAUCGUGUUGACAUAAUUCUUAUUUCUGUACCUACUUCAAAUAAGUUGAAUUUACAUGUGAGUUAUCAGAGUUCAACUUGGAAGCAUUGGUGGGCCUUGUGUUACCAAGGUGACAAGAAACUAAGAUUGAAUAAGUUUAAUCCAUGUAGGGCUGAAUUUGUCACUAACCUUAUCUUGUGAUUAUGGUUUUGACAAAUUCGCAUGGAUAGGAACUCAUACACUAUUAAAUCUAAGUGUCAUAAGGUUUCUCUCCGAUUCAUGAAAAUGAUGGUGAGGAAAUGCUUUCACUAAAUAGAUUUUAAGUAGAUAUCAAUUGUGUCAUUUGCAUUUUCAAAAGUCAUUAGUGGAGCGCGUGUGGUUAACCGGCACACUAACAUGGACUUGUGAGAAAUGGCAAAUGCCUAAGCAAUUGAGACUAUGAUUACGGCAUCCCUUUUCAUAGUUCUGAAAAUUGUUUAGACACACAUGUGAGCUAUCUAAGAAAGGGUGUAUGAAUCUAAAUUUCAGAAGUCCAACAGAUUUCUGGAAAUGUGUCAGAGCUAGUGGGAGCAUAAGUGUUAUGCUGAUAAUCAUCAUGUUAGUGGGAGCAUGACUAUUAUGAUUAGUAUUGCAAGCUAGCAAUGUUAAUUAUAGAAAACAAAGUUUCAAUCCGUGAAGUUGCAGGGGUUGAAAAGUUGUUUUGCUAUAAUUAAGGGAGAGGAAAUUAUACUUCAUGUCAAUUCUAAAGCUUAGAUUGAGAUUUUAAUCAUCUUUAGUCAAGAAUAUAUGUGAAUUUUGUGUUGGAAUGGUUCAACUUGAAGAAAUUCUAUAUAUAUUGCAUUUUCAAAAUUCGAUUAUGAUUACGGCAUCCCUCUUCAUAGUUAAAUUUUGAAAACAUGGCAAAUAAAAAAUAUUGUAGCAAAAGACUGGUCUAGUGUCAUGUCUUUAUGUCAAACAUCAUGAAUAGUAUCCCAUAUGCUUCGGAUAUAGGAUCGAUUUCAUGUGCUAUAAUAUUCAUCCUUUCUAAAUUUUCCAAAUGCUUAAGGCAUUUAGAAGGGAAAAGUCUAGAACUGGAUAUGACUAAAGUGAUUAAGCAAUUGUCGAGGACAAUCUGAGGUUCGCCAAAGAUUGGUUGCUCAGGGACAUUUGGAAGUCUAGUGUUAAUUUUGGUAGGACCAUAUCGACAUUUUCUGAAAAGAGGUAACUCUUGUUCGGAAGUGAUAGUCAAAUAGGACUAUGGAAAUGUCUCCAUAGGUGGAAGUGAUUCAAUCUAUGUAAGAUUAGGAAACUUAAUGCAAAAAGGAUGUUCCCAAGGAGCUGAUCUCCUUUGGAAUGCUCUGUAAUGGUUGUUGUCAAGUCUUUCUGACUUUGUGCAUAAUCAUUACAAGAGGAUCAAUGCAUAUAAGUUUAGAAUCUAACAGAUUUCAGUAAAUGACAUAAAUUUGGAAUUCUUGCAUUUACAAUAAGGAUUUGGGAUUGUGAAAUGAGUAUCAUUGGAAUCAUGUUCAAUUGAUCUACAUCACAAUGUAAGGAUCAUAGACAAACAUAGUGUGCAUACUUGGGGUAUGGCAUAACUAUUGUUUAGAAAAACAAAGUGUACAUGCUAGGAGCAUGGGACGACUGUUGUUUUUAUUCAAGUCUUAAGUUGAUUAUUUGAAACAUUGAAUAAUGUGUAAUCAAUAUGGUGAUAAAUAAAAAGUGGUUUUAUUUAUAUUCAAAAGGGUUCUGAGACCAUAUUAGAUUCGAUUAUUAUUGUAUUUCACUUUGCAUGUUUUGACUUCCAAAAUAGCUAGGUUAUUCUUUCCGGAUGACUAAGUUAUUUAAACACUCCACAGUCGUUCAUAUGUUGGAAGUAGGUAUGAAUCAAGACUGUCAUGAAUCGGGUUUGUAGAUGGCUAAAUGAGUUUAGUCAUGGCAAUGGUUGCUACAACAUUCAUGAGUACUCAUAAGUUAUGAGUAUUGGAAUAAACCCACGCUCACUUGUAUCACUUCAUGGAAUUUAUCUCGAGUGAUCGUGAGACGAUAAUAUCAUAUAAAUCUUCAAACCUAGAGAUAUGAGUUGUUACCUAUGAGUUGGUUGUGCAUUGAUUGCACGUAAACGCAUCAGUAACUUGAUGUUAUAAAACGUGCCUUUGUGUACAAUUCAACAAGUAGUAGAACAAGCAUAUGAGUCGAAGUUUAUCUGUUCCUUCUAGAAAUAGAAGCGAUAUCUGGGCCCCUCGAUGAUUUUGUUGUGACCUAUGUACCGGCCGGUCAGAACUGAAUUGAUGUGUUCGAUUAAGUUCUUUGUCAAACAAAUCGAAAAUCGGGAAACAAACUGCUGGACAAUAAGUACGACGUUGUUCCAUGUAUUUGUCCGGCUGAUAUCAUGAGAACAGAGGAUUAUAUGAUCCCUUAUCUAAUGGACAAGUCAUUGACAAGAUCAGAGUUCAUCUACAAGGUCAGAGUUCGACAGAAGCUUUUGAGAGCUACGAUUGUCGGUUGGUUCCUGAAGUCAUACGCAAUAAUAGUUUUAGACUUAUCCAAGUGGGAGACUGUUGGAUUAAUGUCUAAGUCCAUAACUAUAAUUGGUAAGACUUGACCCGACCCGGCAUGGUCCAUUUGGGUUGCAAACCUUCAUGCACUUAGAUAGACUAUAAUGAGAGAAAUAAGACACUUAUGGUUAUUAAUAUAUUAUAAGUACUAGUAUAUUAAUAAUAAGAAUAAUAAGAUUGUUUAAUUAGUAUUGAUCAAGAAUUAAUCUAGGAUUAAUUAAGUGAUCAAAAGAAGACUAAUUAAAUAUAUGAGUUGAUUGUGUAAAUCAUCCAUACUUAUAUAGUGGGCUAAUGCUCCAUGGAUAAUCAAGUUGGGCUAAAACCCAUAGGAUGGUCCAUGGGUGCUCCAUGGUGUAUUUGAACCCAUGGAUCCAAGGAAAUGGAAAGUCAUGACAAUUAAGGAUUUACCCUAAUUGUAACACUAUAUAAUGAUCUUAUUCUUGACAAAAAUCGGCCACUAGGAUUAUUCUAGAGAGGGCUAGCCGAUUUCAUGAAGUGUAGAACUCUCUCAAGUUAUUCUAAGUGUUUUGAUAACUGUGAUUCCAUUUGAGGCUUCCACACUAUUGGGGCUAGGCACUCAAGCU
rnacentral:lncRNA from 1 species